rnacentral:lncRNA from 1 species
AUUGCGUAAUAAGCGCGUGAAAAUUUCAGCAGUAAUUCGGAAGAUAAGAGCCAAAGGCAAAGCUCAUGCAAUUUGUCAAUGAAGGUGAUUAAUAACGGUAUGUGCUUCUCAUGUUGAAUAAGGGUUCAAAGCUUCACCAAAGGCUAGCAGGAAAGCUAGCCAAGAGGACGUGAAUCACAGUGAAUUUGUCUCAGAGGAACUGCCGGAGCGGAGUUGCCUGAGCUGAGCCUGAGGCCUGGGAGUGAGGAACUGCUUGAUUUAUGACCGAGUCGCUCACUCUCCGUGAUCGGUGUACCGGUACAGUGUACCUCCAUCGGUUUUCGGCCUGCCAGCUGCCUGCUUGGAGGUCCGCUUCGCUUCUGUACUACAAGUUCGAGCUCCUGCCCAAUCGGCUACAACUCCCCCACAACACUUGCUCACUGCAACCAUCCUGCCUGUGGGGAAUCAGAAAUUUGUGACAUCUUACAACUGAUGGAGGAGAGUUAUGAGUUUUAUCCAGUUUUCAUGAGAGAAGUCCACCACACGGCAGUCAAUUUAUAUAGUGAGACUGUAGGUGCUGCUUUUCCGACAGCGGCGGUG